GAUCCUUUCAUUCAACCAAAUUUCAAUACUACAAUAGUUUUAGUUUCGUAAAUUUAUUAUGCUAAAUUUUUUUCAUUCUUCUUGUCAUCUUCUUAUCUCUAUCUAUAAUUUUUUUUUUGUUUUUUUUGGAAUGAGAGUUUAUAUUCUUUUGUUCUUCUAAUUCUGAUUUUUUGUUUGAAAAUUUGUUUGUUUUUGUUUACUUGCCAAAAGAAAUACAUAUAAAAUUUAAAUGGAAAUUUGCGAUCAUUGAAUAUAUAUAUACAUUAAACUAUAAUCAUAUGUAUGCAUAAUUUAUAGAUCAUUUGUAUGUGUGUAUAUAUAAUUACAAAUAACUAUUAGUUUAUGCUCUGUCAAAAAUAAAUAAUAUCUGUAAAAAAGACUAUUAGUUUAUGCUGUGGGCCCACCUAGAAGCGGAGAUAUUUAUAUGCAUACAGUACAGACGCAUCUCGUUCAAAACAAACAGAGCGCUCUUUCUCUCUGGCGCCAUUAGCAGGAUCUUCUGCAGCUCCUUCUCCGCUCUUCUGAUUCCCAUGGAGAUGUCUGAUGUUAAUCUUCAUGUGAGAAGGCUAGCUGAUAGGAUUGGAGUCUCUGACGGAUAUGCCACUGUCCUCCUCCUCUUAAACAACUGGGACGAAGCCUCCAUCGUUGAAGAGUGGAACCAACCUGGAAAUGAUCUUGCUAACAUAUCAGGAAUUGUCGUUAAUGGUGUGUAUUUGACCAGUGAGGGGUUUUGUGACUUUUGUGACACGCAUACCAGUUGCGCAACAUACGGCUGCUCUCAUCUACUGUGCAGAAUCUGUGUUAAAGAUUACGUGGAACAAAACAUCAGGUCCGGCAAUCUGAAUGUUAAAUGCCGUAUCCCUGAAUGCAACAAGAACAUGUCAUGCUCUCGAUUCCUUAAUGACAUUUCUUUGGACUGCAAAAAUUCUUUCAACACUGCUCUGGCUGAGAAUUACAGUCUCUCUCAAUCCAACAACGCAGUUCAGAACCCGAUUGAUUCUCUAAAAGGGCUUGUUACGUAUCUCCGAACCAACAAGUGGAACUUUGUUUCAAGGGUUGCUACAUUUCUCCAAAGUAACAAGUGGACACUACUUUCAAGCUUGCUAUUUGCGAUGUCAACAGUUCUGCGGUGGUAUCACGUUUACGUGUGUGGGAGUGUACUCUGCCAUGUGUCUAGUGGCUAAAUAUGUUUGCUGGGGACAUAUGAUGAAGCUGAUCUUUGCAUUCUUCUUCUACAAACUUGUGACGACAAACUCUGUCUUUACCGCUGCUGCAUUUUCUUCUGCCGCCACACUUGUGCUCAUCUUUGCGGCUAUAUUUGGAUUGGUACGUCGUUGCUUCCAGAUUGUUAUGAGGAUUUUCAGGUAAAUUGUCAUCUCUCUGCACUUAGAUCGGUAUUUUUCUAGACAAAGAACCAUGCAUUUCUUUGAUCUGAUGUAAAAAACUAGAUAUUGCUUUUGUUACGAUGAUUGUCUCGAUCGUCGGUAUAUUCCAUUACUAAAUGAUAAAACACUUAAACGUGGUUUAUAGUUUUUUUUCCAAACUAACUAUAACAGUUUUUUACACUCUUCAAAACAAACACUUAAGUUAUAUUUAUCAGGCGAAGCAAUAUGGAAUAUAUCUAUCGUUGUAACUUGUAAGUACCUACCUAAACGGAGGUGUUUUCCAACAAAGUAGUUUUGUAAAGUGUAAACUAGAAAUAAAAUUUAGACAAAAAAAAACUAUAAAUAAAUUAAAAUGAUAUAACCUUUUUGUUUAACAACCAAAUGUUAUAAGCUAAAAAUCUAAAAAUACAGAACACAAGUUAUCUUUUGAGAGCACAAAAGUUAAGUUAUUUGUCGGAAAUAAAUUAGUUCAAAUUUUAUGUUUAUUCGAAAAAACUAGAAACCUGGUAGAUAAUUGCCAUUUGCAUAAUGGCAAACAAAAAAACCACAAAAAUAAACAAAUUCAUUUUCUGUCAAAAAGAAAUAUUUUGUUUUCUUGACCAAAAAAAAGCCAAACCUCUUGUGUUCCAGGAAAUGAAAGAAUAUAAUAAUAGCCAAACAUUUUGCUUCCUCUUUUUUGUCAAACAAAUGGACACUUGCUAAAAGACGCCACAUUGCUAAUAUUAUAUAGUAUGAUUCAUUUUACGCAAACAUACAAAACAUAUGUACUUCAAAAACAGAGCCAUCAAUUAUACCAUCCUCUGUUUUUCAACCAGAAUCAUGCGUGGCUAAUAUCCUCUCAUUCACAACUCCGGAAGAUAUAUCUCUUCGGCGUAUGUCUCCUCUGUUUUCCCUGUCGCCGGGAACUCUGAUUUCGCGUUGGAGAAGUUUCUACCCUCUGUUUACGGCCGCCUCAUCUCUAGCUCGACUCAUCAGAGUUUAUCCUCCAAAAAGGAGCUCUAUCGUUGUCUCUGUGAAUCAAUUCUCAUCGAUAAUGGCAGAAAGGUAUGUUUCAAUAUCAGAUGUUCAAGAUAGAGAAGCUUACUAGGAAGAUAACGUAUGUUCUGUCGGCAAGAGAUCUUUCCAUAACUUGGGGCGAUCAACGACAA